rnacentral:rRNA from 1 species
CAGUAGCCGCGGGAAUACGUAGGGUGCAAGCGUUGUCCGGAAUUAUUGGGCGUAAAGAGCGUGUAGGCGGCUCGACAAGUCCGCUGUGAAAGUCCAGGGCUCAACCCUGGAAUGCCGGUGGAUACUGUCGAGCUAGAGUCCGGAAGGGGCGAGUGGAACUCCUGGUGUAGCGGUGAAAUGCGCAGAUAUCAGGAAGAACACCAAUGGCGAAGGCAGCUCGCUGGGACGUGACUGACGCUGAGACGCGAAAGCGUGGGGAGCGAACAGGAUUAGAUACCCCCGUAGUCUGUCUCUUAUACAC